AUAAACUACAAACCCAAACAAUCUCAAAAUCUCGACAUUUAUAUAAAUCCAACAUCUCCCUAACCAAUAAGCUCAUCAUACACAGCUUUAACAUAUCUUUCGUUAUUAAAAUUAUUCAAACCAAAGAUGUCCGACGAUUGCAAAGGCAAGAGCUCUUGGCCGGAGUUGGUUUUAGUUUCGGGUAACAUAGCUGAAAAGAUUAUUGAAAAAGAGAACCAUUAUGUUAAUGCGAUCAUUGUUGAGCAAGGAAAAUUUGUUACACAAGAUUUCAGGUGUGAUAGGGUUUGGGUUUGGGUCGAUAAGUACACCCGCAUUGUUGUUAAGACUCCCAUAAUUGGUUAAGUUAUAUAUUAGUGAGACAUGUGUAUGUAUAUGUCUCCGAAUUAAACGUUAAAUGUUAUGAAAAUAAGAAAGGAAAAUGUAGUUUCCUUAUGUUUGUGUUAUGUAAUCUAAAAUAAAGUUUAUGUGCAUGGCCUACGUAUGAAUUUGUUUUUGUAAUCUAUUAUAUUCCUUUGACUUUGUUGCA